AUUUUUCUCUUGCUGCUGCCAUGUAAGAAGUGUCUUUCACCUCCUGCCAUGAUUCUGAGGCUUCCCCAGCCAUGUGGAACUGAAGUUGCGCUGUACCUGAGAGCACCGAGAUAUAACAUAAGAAGCCAUCUUGGAAUUAAAGUUGUUGAAUGGAAAUGUGGCUUCAGCCUGGCUGUGUAUCACAUCCUUCUGGUUAGGGGCAUUGCUGCAGGAAUCUGUUUAUUCUCAAUUCAAGCCAAUAUGUACUGAUUGCUCUGACCUCCUCUCGUAAACAGGCAUUCUACUGGAACGUGUAAGAUAAUUUUUGCCAUCUGUCAUUUUCUUCUUCUUGAGAAAGGAGGAGAAUUACUGAGAAACAAGAAAAUGGAGUUAAAAAUCAUUCAGAGAAGUCAUCCUGAGGGAAUUUAGCUUGAAAUUCCCGAAUUAACUUUCUUUCAGCCAAGUGCUAAGGAGUUGUCCAUAUGCUGAUGUUAAGCCUGAAAGAUCUUGGAUUACCUUUUGUUUGUAGUUGUGCAGCUGUAAUAUAAUUCUGAUCUAUUCCAUAGCUGCUAAUGACUCAACACCUGAGACCUUGAAGUAUAACAGCCAAGGUUAUUUUGCAAUGUGAGGCAAUAAAAUAAGGUAGGAUCGCUCAUAUAUGCAAAAGUACUCUGAAAUCGCAAGACUGAUAUAAAGAUAUAUGCUUCUAUCAAGUGCUUAUAACAGAAAUGAUUUCAUUGCUAUACACACAUUCACACACAUACAAUAAUAUGCAAAAUUUCUUGCAAAACUUGCAAACAAAGCAGGUAAAGACAUAAAUAAUCAGUAAUUAAGAAUUCACCGGAGAGGACAGAUGAGAGAUUAUGCUGAGUCAAGAAGCUAAAAUGCAUAUAUAAAAUUUAUGCAUGUGUGGGGUCAUUGCACCUGUGCCCUCAGUGAACCAUUCAAUCAAGAACAAACUUUCUGUUAUAAGAUGAAAAAGUCCUGGAGAUCUUAUGUACAUUAAGGUGACUGUAGUUAAUAGUAAAGCAUUGUAUACUUAAAAGUUGCUUAAAGAGUAGAUCUUAAUUGUUCUCACUAUAGAAUAAAAGGUAACUAUGAAGUGAUAGAGGCAUUAGCUUGUUACAUUUUAUAAUCCAUGCAUAUAUCAAAAUAUCACGUGUGUACCUUAAAUGUAUACAAUUUUCAUUUGUCAAUUAUACCUAAAUAAAACUGAGGAAAAUAAAAUAAAAUAAAAUGAUACUGUUUGUUUAAAAACACCACAAUUUAACAUCAAAACUACUGAUUCACAAUAGCAGGUAAAGAAUGAUUACAGUAAAAAAAGGUUAUU
rnacentral:lncRNA from 1 species